CCCCAGAUGUUGCUGAACUACAACUCUUUGAAUUACAUAGAUAGCCAGAGAAUCAAGGGAGUUGUAGUUCAGCAACAUCUGGGG
rnacentral:miRNA from 1 species